rnacentral:rRNA from 1 species
CCUACGGGUGGCAGCAGUGGGGGAUAUUGCACAAUGGAGGAAACUCUGAUGCAGCGACGCCGCGUGAGGGAAGACGGUCUUCGGAUUGUAAACCUCUGUCUUUGGGGAAGAAAAUGACGGUACCCAAAGAGGAAGCUCCGGCUAACUACGUGCCAGCAGCCGCGGUAAUACGUAGGGAGCGAGCGUUGUCCGGAAUUACUGGGUGUAAAGGGAGGGUAGGCGGGCGAGAAAGUUGUAUGGUAAGUCUACCGGCUAAACUGGUAGCUGCGUUUAACACUUGUUGUCUUGAGUGUAGUAGAGGCAGGCGGAAUUCGUAGUGUAGCGGUGAAAUGCGUAGAUAUUAGGAAGAACACCAAUGGCGAAGGCAGCCUGCUGGGCUUUAACUGACGCUGAGGCUCGAAAGCGUGGGGAGCAAACAGGAUUAGAUACCCCGGUAGUC